GGAUUGUGGCUUAGCGGUAGAGCGCUGGUCUAGAACAUGUGAGGCCCUCGGUUCGAUCCUGAACACCA
rnacentral:tRNA from 1 species